rnacentral:rRNA from 1 species
CUCCGUGUUGAAGCUAACGCGUUAAGCACUCCGCCUGGGGACUACGGUCGCAAGACUAAAACUCAAAGGAAUUGACGGGGACCCGCACAAGCGGUGGAGCAUGUGGUUUAAUUCGAUGCAACGCGAAAAACCUUACCACUCCUUGACAUGGAGAUUAGAUCCUUCUUAACGGAAGGGCGCAGUUCGGCUGGGUCUCGCACAGGUGCUGCAUGGCUGUCGUCAGCUCGUGUCGUGAGAUGUUGGGUUAAGUCCCGCAACGAGCGUAACCCUCAUCCUUAGUUGCCAGCGGAUAAUGCCGGGUACUUUAAGGAAACUGCCGGUGGUAAACCGGAGGAAGGUGGGGAUGAUGUCAAGUCAGCACGGCCCUUAUGGGGUGGGCUACACACGUGCUACAAUGGUGACUACAAUAGGUUGCAACGCCGCAAGGCUGAGCUAAUCCAUAAAAGUCAUCUCAGUUCGGAUUGUCCUCUGUAACUCGAGGGCAUGAAGUCGGAAUCGCUAGUAAUCGUGGAUCAGCAUGCCACGGUGAAUACGUUCUCGGGUCUUGUACACACUGCCCGUCACGCCAUGGGAAUUGGCUUAACUCGAAGCUGGUGCGC